GCAAAUUCUAUAACAGAUGUCAUAUAUGGUACCUACCUUGGAAAUUUUCUGCGAACGGCAUUUUUUUAAGCAUGGAUUUGGUAGCAAAAUUUAUUUUGGACGAGCCACAAAAGAGGUAGUUAUCGAGGAGUUUCUGCGGGUCCUUUGUUUUCGAGUCACGUUUGGUCGGUUUUAGGGCAAAUUCUAUAACAGAUGCCAUAUAUGGUAGCUAACUUGGAAAAUUUCUGUGAACGACAUUUUUUAAGCAUGGAUUGGGCAGCAAAAAGUUAUUUUGGACGUGCCACGAAAGAGGUAUUUAUCGAGGAGUUUUUGCGUGUCCUUUGUUUUCGAGUCGCGUUUGGUCGGUUUUAGGGUAAAUUCUGUACAAGAUGUCAUGUAUGGUUACCUAACUUGGAAAAUUUCUAUGAACGGAAUUUUUUAAGAAUGGAUUGGGUAGCUAAAGUUAUUUUGGACAAGCCAAAAAAGAGGUAGUUAUAGAGGAGGUUUUGCGUGUCCUUUGUUUUCGAGUCGCGUUUGGUUGGUUCAAGGGCAAAUUCUGUACAAGAUGUCAUAUAUGGGUACCUAACUUGGAAAAAUUCUGUGAACAACAUUUGUUAAGCAUGGAUUGGGUAGCAAAAAGUAAUGUUGGACGAGCCACUAAAGAGGUAGUUAUCGAGGAGUUUUUGCGUGUCCUUUGUUUUCGAGUGGCUUUUGGUCGGUUUUAGCGCAAAUUCUGUACAACAUGUCAUAUAUGUGUACCUAACUUUGGAAUAAUUCUGUGAAUGGCAUUUUUUAAGCAUCGAUUGGGUAGAAAAAAGUUAUUUUGGAAGAGCCACGAAAGAGGUAGUUAUCGAGGAGUUUUUGCAUGUCAUUUGUUUUUGAGUCGCGUUUGGUCUGUUUUAGGGAAAAUUCUGUACAAGAUGUCAUAUAUGGGUACCGAACUUGGAAAAGUUCUAUGACCGGAUUUUUAAGCAUGGAUUGGGUAGCCAAAAGUUAUUUUGCACGAGCCACAAAAGAGAUAUUUAUCGAGGAGUUUUUGCGUGUCAUUUGUUGUCGAGUCGCGUUUGGUCGGUUUUAGGGUAAAUUCUGUACAAGAUGUCAUGUAUGGUUACCUAACUUGGAAAAUUUCUAUGAACGGAAUUUUUUAAGAAUGGAUUGGGUAGCUAAAAGUUAUUUUGGAUGAGCCAAGGAAGAGGUAGUUAUAGAGGAGGUUUUGCGUGUCCUUUGUUUUCGAGUCGCGUUUGGUUGGUUCAAGGGCAAAUUUUGUACAAGAUGUCAUAUAUGGGUACCUACUUGGAAAAAUUCUGUCAAUGACAUUUUUAAGCAUAGACUGGGUAGCAAAAA